rnacentral:rRNA from 1 species
UACGGGGGGAGCAAGCGUUGUUCGGAUUUACUGGGCGUAAAGGGCGCGUAGACGGUCGUGACAAGUCACUUGUGAAAUCUCCGGGCUUAACUCGGAACGGUCAAGUGAUACUGUCGGACUAGAGUACAGAAGGGGCGAACUGGAAUUCUCGGUGUAGCGGUGAAAUGCGUAGAUAUCGAGAGGAACACCUGCGGCGAAGGCGGGUUGCUGGGCUGAUGAACUGACGCUGAGGCGCGAAAGCCAGGGGAGCGAACGGG